AUUGAACGCUGGCGGCAGGCCUAACCCAUGCACGUCGAACGCGUGGCAGACGGGUGAGUAAUGUCUGGGAAACUGCCUGAUGGAGGGGGAUAACUACUGGAAACGGUAGCUAAUACCGCAUACCAUCAGAUGUGCCCAGAUGGGAUUAUGUAGUUGUGGGGGUAACGGCUCACAAAGGCGACGAUCCCUAGCUGGUCUGAGCGGAUGACCAGGCACACUGGAACGGGGACACGGUCCAGACUCAUAAGGGGGGCAGCAGUGGGGAAUAUUGGGCAAUGGGCGCAAGCGUGAGGCAGCCAUGCCGCGUGUAUGAAGAAGGCCUUCGGGUUGUAAAGUACUUUCAGCGGGGAGGCGUUACCCGCAGAAGAAGCACCGGCUAACUCCGUGCCAGCAGCCGCGGUAAUUC
rnacentral:rRNA from 1 species